GAUGAACGCUGGCGGCGUGCCUAAUACAUGCAAGUCGAGCGAACGGACGAGAAGCUUGCUUCUCUGAUGUUAGCGGCGGACGGGUGAGUAACACGUGGAUAACCUACCUAUAAGACUGGGAUAACUUCGGGAAACCGGAGCUAAUACCGGAUGAUAUUUUGAACCGCAUGGUUCAAAAGUGAAAGACGGUCUUGCUGUCACUUAUAGAUGGAUCCGCGCUGCAUUAGCUAGUUGGUAAGGUAACGGCUUACCAAGGCAACGAUGCAUAGCCGACCUGAGAGGGUGAUCGGCCACACUGGAACUGAGACACGGUCCAGACUCCUACGGGAGGCAGCAGUAGGGAAUCUUCCGCAAUGGGCGAAAGCCUGACGGAGCAACGCCGCGUGAGUGAUGAAGGUCUUCGGAUCGUAAAACUCUGUUAUUAGGGAAGAACAUAUGUGUAAGUAACUGUGCACAUCUUGACGGUACCUAAUCAGAAAGCCACGGCUAACUACGUGCCAGCAGCCGCGGUAAUACGUAGGUGGCAAGCGUUAUCCGGAAUUAUUGGGCGUAAAGCGCGCGUAGGCGGUUUUUUAAGUCUGAUGUGAAAGCCCACGGCUCAACCGUGGAGGGUCAUUGGAAACUGGAAAACUUGAGUGCAGAAGAGGAAAGUGGAAUUCCAUGUGUAGCGGUGAAAUGCGCAGAGAUAUGGAGGAACACCAGUGGCGAAGGCGACUUUCUGGUCUGUAACUGACGCUGAUGUGCGAAAGCGUGGGGAUCAAACAGGAUUAGAUACCCUGGUAGUCCACGCCGUAAACGAUGAGUGCUAAGUGUUAGGGGGUUUCCGCCCCUUAGUGCUGCAGCUAACGCAUUAAGCACUCCGCCUGGGGAGUACGACCGCAAGGUUGAAACUCAAAGGAAUUGACGGGGACCCGUACAAGCGGUGGAGCAUGUGGUUUAAUUCGAAGCAACGCGAAGAACCUUACCAAAUCUUGACAUCCUUUGACAACUCUAGAGAUAGAGCCUUCCCCUUCGGGGGGGACAAAGUGACAGGUGGUGCAUGGCUGUCGUCAGCUCGUGUCGUGAGAUGUUGGGUUAAGUCCCGCAACGAGCGCAACCCUUAAGCUUAGUUGCCAUCAUUAAGUUGGGCACUCUAAGUUGACUGCCGGUGACAAACCGGAGGAAGGUGGGGAUGACGUCAAAUCAUCAUGCCCCUUAUGAUUUGGGCUACACACGUGCUACAAUGGACAAUACAAAGGGCAGCGAAACCGCAAGGUCAAGCAAAUCCCAUAAAGUUGUUCUCAGUUCGGAUUGUAGUCUGCAACUCGACUACAUGAAGCUGGAAUCGCUAGUAAUCGUAGAUCAGCAUGCUACGGUGAAUACGUUCCCGGGUCU
rnacentral:rRNA from 1 species